AAUCAUGUCUAGUACUUAUUACUUACGAUAUUAAUCAACUCCAAAUAUUAUUCAUUUGUCUUUAGGUGUAAAGCAUGUGGCUGGAGAUAUGUUCAAAUCGAUCCCAAAUGCCCAAACAAUUUUAUUGCAGGUAUCCUUUUAUUCAUGCAUUCUUGGGGUUAUAUGGUAAUUCAAAUUAGAGGGCAGGCAAGGGAAAUAAGAAUGAUGUCUUGGGAAUU